rnacentral:rRNA from 1 species
CAACCUCAACUCAUAUGGGAUUACCCCCUGAAUUUAAGCAUAUUAAUUAGGGGAGGAAAAGAAACUAACCAGGAUUUUCUUAGUAGCGGCGAGCGAAAAGAAAUCAGUUCAGCACUAAGUCACUUUGUCUAUAUGGCAAAUGUGAGAUGCAGUGUAUGGAGCGUCAAUAUUCUAGUAUGAGAAAUUAACGAUUUAAGUCCUUCUUAAAUGAGGCCAUUUACCCAUAGAGGGUGCCAGGCCCGUAUAA